rnacentral:rRNA from 1 species
CCUACGGGAGGCAGCAGUGGGGAAUAUUGCUCAAUGGGGGAAACCCUGAUGCAGCGACGCCGCGUGAGUGAAGAAGUAAUUCGUUACGUAAAGCUCUAUCAGCAGGGAAGAAAAUGACGGUACCUGAGUAAGAAGCCCCGGCUAACUACGAGCCAGCAGCCGCGGUAAUACGUAGGGGGCAAGCGUUAUCCGGAUUUACUGGGUUUAAAGGGGGCGUAGACGGUGCGCCAAGUCUGGAGUGAAAUGCCGCAGCUUAACUGCGGAACUGCUUUGGAAACUGGCGAAGUAGAGUGCGGGAGGGGUAAGCGGAAUUCCUGGUGUAGCGGUGAAAUGCGUAGAUAUUAGGAGGAACCCCGGCGGCGAAGGCGGCUUACUGGACCGUAACUGACGUUGAGGCUCGAAAGCGUGGGGAGCAAACAGGAUUAGAUACCCCGGUAGUC